rnacentral:rRNA from 1 species
UACGUAGGCAGCAAGCGUUGUUCGGAAUUACUGGGCGUAAAGAGUGUGUAGGCGGUGUUCCAAGUCUGGUGUGAAAUCUCCCGGCUUAACUGGGAGGGUGCAUUAGAAACUGGAAUGCUAGAGGAUGGGAGAGGUAAGCGGAAUUCCUGGUGUAGCGGUGAAAUGCGUAGAUAUCAGGAGGAACACCGGUGGUGUAAACGGCUUUCUGGACCGUAACUGACGCUGAGGCGCGAAAGCGUGGGGAGCAAACAGG